UCUUCGCUAGUAUAUCGGUUAGUAUAAUCGCCUCUCAAAAGGGAGAUCCUGGAGCGUCUCUAGCUCCAAAGGGUGCGCGAUAGAGCAGGGUUCGACUCCCUGGCGGAGAA